rnacentral:ribozyme from 13 species
AGAAUGUUUCUUUUUUCUAUCUUCCCACUGAUUUUGGAAUUGUUCUUCCCAAUUUCCGUUUGUUCUCUUAUCUUCUUUCAUAAGAGGGGCUUCUUCAUCGGGAGAGCCCUCAUCGGAACAACAACAGCCCAUUUUCUUCGAAGAUGACUUCUUCUUGUCUUAUUAAAAAAAAAGAAAUAAAAAAGAAGACCCAACA